rnacentral:rRNA from 1 species
UGGGGAAUCUUGGACAAUGGGCGCAAGCCUGAUCCAGCCAUGCCGCGUGGGUGAAGAAGGCCCUAGGGUUGUAAACCCCUUUCGGCGGGGAAGAUAAUGACGGUACCCGCAGAAGAAGCCCCGGCUAACUCCGUGCCAGCAGCCGCGGUAAUACGGAGGGGGCUAGCGUUGUUCGGAAUUACUGGGCGUAAAGCGCGCGUAGGCGGACUUUCAAGUCAGGGGUGAAAUCCCGAGGCUCAACCUCGGAACUGCCUUUGAUACUGUAAGUCUUGAGUCCGAGAGAGGUGAGUGGAAUUCCUAGUGUAGAGGUGAAAUUCGUAGAUAUUAGGAAGAACACCAGUGGCGAAGGCAGCCAUCUGGGCCGGGAUUGACGCUGAGGCGCGAAAGCGUGGGGAGCAAACAGGAUUAGAUACCCCCGUAGUCC